rnacentral:rRNA from 1 species
UGGGGAAUAUUGCACAAUGGGCGAAAGCCUGAUGCAGCAACGCCGCGUGAGGGACGACGGCCUUCGGGUUGUAAACCUCUUUAGCAAGGAAGAAGCGAAAGUGACGGUACUUGCAGAAAAAGCGCCGGCUAACUACGUGCCAGCAGCCGCGGUAAUACGUAGGGCGCAAGCGUUAUCCGGAAUUAUUGGGCGUAAAGAGCUCGUAGGCGGUUUGUCGCGUCUGCUGUGAAAACCCGAGGCUCAACCUCGGGCCUGCAGUGGGUACGGGCAGACUAGAGUGCGGUAGGGGAGAUUGGAACUCCUGGUGUAGCGGUGGAAUGCGCAGAUAUCAGGAAGAACACCGAUGGCGAAGGCAGAUCUCUGGGCCGUAACUGACGCUGAGGAGCGAAAGGGUGGGGAGCAAACAGGCUUAGAUGACCCUGGUAGUCCACCCGUAAACGUUGGGAACUAGUUGUGGGUCCAUUCCACGGAUUCCGUGACGCAGCUAACGCAUUAAGUUCCCCGCCUGGGGAGUACGGCCGCAAGGCU